rnacentral:rRNA from 1 species
UACGUAGGUGGCAAGCGUCGUCCGGAUUUACUGGGCGUAAAGGAUGCGUAGGCGGAUAUUUAAGUGGGAUGUGAAAUACCCGGGCUCAACUUGGGUGCUGCAUUCCAAACUGGAUAUCUAGGGUGUGGGAGAGGAAAAUGGAAUUCCUAGUGUAGCGGUGAAAUGCGUAGAGAUUAGGAAGAACACCAGUGGCGAAGGCGAUUUUCUGGACCAUAACUGACGCUGAGGCAUGAAAGCGUGGGGAGCAAACAGG